UACUAUGUAACCAAACUGAGUGUGUAAGA
rnacentral:sRNA from 1 species